UUUUGCGCAAUGCUCGUAAGAGUGACGCAGCGACGCCGCGUGAAUGACGAAGGCCUUCGGAUCGUAAACCUCUGUCAGCAGGGAAGAACGGUCACUGUGCUAAUCAGCAGUGAAUUGACGGUACCUGCAAAGGAAGCACCGGCUAACUCCGUGCCAGCAGCCGCGGUAAUACGGAGGGUGCGAGCGUUAAUCGGAAUUACUGGGCGUAAAGCGCUCGUAGGCGGUAUGUCAAGUCAAGGGUGAAAUCCCCGCGCUCAACGUGGGAACUGCCUUUGAAACUGGCAAACUGGAGUGUGUGAGAGGAUAGUGGAAUUCCAGGUGUAGGAGUGAAAUCCGUAGAUAUCUGGAGGAACAUCAGUGGCGAAGGCGACUAUCUGGCACAUAACUGACGCUGAAGAGCGAAAGCGUGGGUAGCAAACAGG
rnacentral:rRNA from 1 species